rnacentral:misc_RNA from 1 species
AAGUCGUAACAAGGUAUCUGUAGGUGAACCUGCAGAUGGAUCAUUUCGAUGAAAACCUUUUUUCUGAGGUGCGGCCCGCACCUGUCUAACUAAACUAGGGCUACCCUUUUUCAACACGGUUGCAUCGGUUGGGCUUGUCAGACAGCGCGCGCGCAAGCGUGUUCUCGACGGCAGCCUGACACAACACAAAAACACUUUGGAUGACAUAGGAUUUGAACGAAUUUGUUAUUUAACGGCUGGUAAUGCGGUCGUCUAAAAUUAAAAAACAACUUUUGGCAACGGAUCUCUUGGUUCUCC